GUGCUCCCUUUGGCAGCACAUGUAUUAAAAUUGGAACAAUACAGAGAAGAUUAGCAUGGUCCCUGCACAAGGAGGACACACAAAUUCAUGAUAUUAACUUGAUAGCAUCUUUCU
rnacentral:snRNA from 2 species